CAGUGGAAGUCUUUUGUUGAUCGGACGGGUUAUGGCGCGUAAAUUCAAGCGAGGAUCUACUAAAUCAAUAUUAGUUAUGUGAAGUUGGCUCUACUGUAUUACAACUUAAAGUGUCAAUAGUGAUAUUGAAUACAACGUGUUGUGUGUCGACGAUUGGAUUAACAAAAGAAAACAAUAUGUCCUUUUUGGCCGGCAAAUUAAUUGAUAAAGAGGCAAAAGAUAAAUACAACUUACAUAGUCAUUCACGAAUGGAACCGGGGGUUGAACAACCGGACGGCCAGGAGAGAACGCAGCAGCACACAGCGGAAUCACUGGGUGAUCCUCGAGGUAUACCAGAUUUUCUUGCAUAAUUUGUGUUGAUCGAAUCGGCCUGCAUGCGGUGGUGUUGCCGCUGAUGGGCGAUGUUGAAUUUCCAAACAACAAAAGAUGAAAUAACCAUGCGGUCGUCCUCUCGAAACUUGUAUCAGCAGUGCCUGGUGCCGCCGUGAUCCAAUCACGACCUUUCGCGCCGUGUUUACCGCCUGCGAUGCUGCGUGCGAUUCUCUGUUUGUGCGUCGUGUGCCUGGCCAUCCGGGUAUCCACUUUCGGCCAUUUUUUUUAUUUUUAUGAUUUGUAAUGAAAAAAAAUU